GACGAACGCUGGCGGCGUGCCUAAUACAUGCAAGUUGAGCGAUGAAGAUUGGUGCUUGCACCAAUUUGCAGAGCAGCGAACGGGUGAGUAACGCGUGGGGAAUCUGCCUUUGAGCGGGGGACAACAUUUGGAAACGAAUGCUAAUACCGCAUAACAACUUUAAACAUAAGUUUUAAGUUUGAAAGAUGCAAUUGCAUCACUCAAGGAUGAUCCCGCGUUGUAUUAGCUAGUUGGUGAGGUAAAGGCUCACCAAGGCGAUGAUACAUAGCCGACCUGAGAGGGUGAUCGGCCACAUUGGGACUGAGACACGGCCCAAACUCCUACGGGAGGCAGCAGUAGGGAAUCUUCGGCAAUGGACGAAAGUCUGACCGAGCAACGCCGCGUGAGUGAAGAAGGUUGUCGGAUCGUAAAACUCUGUUGGUAGAGAAGAACGUUGGUGAGAGUGGAAAGCUCAUCAAGUGACGGUAACUACCCAGAAAGGGACGGCUAACUACGUG
rnacentral:rRNA from 1 species